rnacentral:rRNA from 1 species
GGGGAAUAUUGCGCAAUGGGGGAAACCCUGACGCAGCGACGCCGUGUGAGGGAAGAAGGCUUUCGGGUCGUAAACCUCUGUCGGGAAGGAAGAACCCCCCAGGUCCGAAUAGGGCCUGGGGCUGACGGUACUUCCAAAGGACGCACCGGCUAACUCCGUGCCAGCAGCCGCGGUAAUACGGAGGGUGCAAGCGUUAAUCGGAAUCACUGGGCGUAAAGGGAACGUAGGUGGCUCUUAAAGUCAGGUGUGAAAAUAACGAAGCUUAACAGGUUAAUGCGCUUGAAACUAAAGGGCUUGAGGGCAAUAGAGGGAGAUGGAAUUACCUGUGUAGGGGUGAAAUCCGCAGAUAUAGGUAAGAAGGCCGGUGGGGAAGCCGAUCUCCUGGGUUGACUCUGACACUGAGGUUCGAAAGCUAGGGGAGCAAACC